AUACUUACCUGGCAAGGGAGACACCGUGAUCACGAAGGCGGUUCACCCAGGGCGAGGCUCAGCCAUUGCACUCCGGCUGUGCUGACCCCUGCGACUUUCGAUUGCAUAAUUUCUGGUAGUGGGGGACUGCGUUCGCGCUCUCCCCUG
rnacentral:snRNA from 13 species